rnacentral:rRNA from 1 species
AGUGAACGCUGGCGGUAGGCCUAACACAUGCAAGUCGAACGGCAGCACAGUAAGAGCUUGCUCUUACGGGUGGCGAGUGGCGGACGGGUGAGGAAUACAUCGGAAUCUACUUUUUCGUGGGGGAUAACGUAGGGAAACUUACGCUAAUACCGCAUAUGACGUACGGGUGAAAGCAGGGGAACUUCGGACCUUGCGCGACUGAAUGAGACGAUGCCGGAUUAGCUAGUUGGGAAGGUAAAGGCCCACCAAGGCAACGAUGCGUAGCCGACCUGAGAGGAUGAUCGGCCACACUGGAACUGAGACACGGUCCAGACUCCGACGGGAGGAAGCAGUAGGGAAUCUUCAGCAAUGGGCGAAAGCCUGACGGAGCAACGCCGCGUGAGUGAUGAAGGUCUUCGGAUCGUAAAACUCUGUUAUUAGGGAAGAACAUAUGUGUAAGUAACUGUGCACAUCUUGACGGUACCUAAUCAGAAAGCCACGGCUAACUACGUG